rnacentral:rRNA from 1 species
UACGGAGGGUGCAAGCGUUAUCCGGAUUCACUGGGUUUAAAGGGUGCGUAGGUGGGCAGGUAAGUCAGUGGUGAAAUCUCCGGGCUUAACCCGGAAACUGCCGUUGAUACUAUCUGUCUUGAAUAUAGUGGAGGUGAGCGGAAUAUGUCAUGUAGCGGUGAAAUGCUUAGAUAUGACAUAGAACAUCGAUUGCGAAGGCAGCUCGCUACACUAUUAUUGACACUGAGGCACGAAAGCGUGGGGAUCAAACAGG